rnacentral:rRNA from 1 species
AGAGUUUGAUCAUGGCUCAGAUUGAACGCUGGCGGCAGGCCUAACACAUGCAAGUCGAGCGGAUGAAGGGAGCUCGCUCCUGGAUUCAGCGGCGGACGGGUGAGUAAUGCCUAGGAAUCUGCCUGGUAGUGGGGGAUAACGUCCGGAAACGGGCGCUAAUACCGCAUACGUCCUGAGGGAGAAAGUGGGGGAUCUUCGGACCUCACGCUAUCAGAUGAGCCUAGGUCGGAUUAGCUAGUUGGUGGGGUAAAGGCCUACCAAGGCGACGAUCCGUAACUGGUCUGAGAGGAUGAUCAGUCACACUGGAACUGAGACACGGUCCAGACUCCUACGGGAGGCAGCAGUGGGGAAUAUUGGACAAUGGGCGAAAGCCUGAUCCAGCCAUGCCGCGUGUGUGAAGAAGGUCUUCGGAUUGUAAAGCACUUUAAGUUGGGAGGAAGGGCAGUAAGUUAAUACCUUGCUGUUUUGACGUUACCAACAGAAUAAGCACCGGCUAACUUCGUGCCAGCAGCCGCGGUAAUACGAAGGGUGCAAGCGUUAAUCGGAAUUACUGGGCGUAAAGCGCGCGUAGGUGGUUCAGCAAGUUGGAUGUGAAAUCCCCGGGCUCAACCUGGGAACUGCAUCCAAAACUACUGAGCUAGAGUACGGUAGAGGGUGGUGGAAUUUCCUGUGUAGCGGUGAAAUGCGUAGAUAUAGGAAGGAACACCAGUGGCGAAGGCGACCACCUGGACUGAUACUGACACUGAGGUGCGAAAGCGUGUGGAGCAAACAGGAUUAGAUACCCUGGUAGUCCACGCCGUAAACGAUGUCGACUAGCCGUUGGGAUCCUUGAGAUCUUAGUGGCGCAGCUAACGCGAUAAGUCGACCGCCUGGGGAGUACGGCCGCAAGGUUAAAACUCAAAUGAAUUGACGGGGGCCCGCACAAGCGGUGGAGCAUGUGGUUUAAUUCGAAGCAACGCGAAGAACCUUACCUGGCCUUGACAUGCUGAGAACUUUCCAGAGAUGGAUUGGUGCCUUCGGGAACUCAGACACAGGUGCUGCAUGGCUGUCGUCAGCUCGUGUCGUGAGAUGUUGGGUUAAGUCCCGUAACGAGCGCAACCCUUGUCCUUAGUUACCAGCACCUCGGGUGGGCACUCUAAGGAGACUGCCGGUGACAAACCGGAGGAAGGUGGGGAUGACGUCAAGUCAUCAUGGCCCUUACGGCCAGGGCUACACACGUGCUACAAUGGUCGGUACAAAGGGUUGCCAAGCCGCGAGGUGGAGCUAAUCCCAUAAAACCGAUCGUAGUCCGGAUCGCAGUCUGCAACUCGACUGCGUGAAGUCGGAAUCGCUAGUAAUCGUGAAUCAGAAUGUCACGGUGAAUACGUUCCCGGGCCUUGUACACACCGCCCGUCACACCAUGGGAGUGGGUUGCUCCAGAAGUAGCUAGUCUAACCGCAAGGGGGACGGUUACCACGGAGUGAUUCAUGACUGGGGUGAAGUCGAAACAAGGUAGCCGUAGGGGAACCUGCGGCUG